rnacentral:lncRNA from 1 species
CACAGACUUCUGGAGAAAUUUCCAGCGCAACAUCUUGUUCUGAUGGGCAGAUACUGACCUCACAGGGAGCACAACAGUUCUCUGUUACUACUUCAGCAAAAACAUCAAAAGAUGAAGCGCAUAUCCAACCUGCAAACUCAACUAUGUUCCAGAAAAUCGAUACCAAGGAAAAUGGGAAUCUCUGUUUAGUGGCUGAUAACUGUCUCCAGGGACGUCAGAGAGAUAAUCAUGAGGUAGUUAAUGAGCACUCUCCAAAAAGAAAAAGAAUGCCAGAGGUAGAUGAGUCACGUAAGCAUCAGUCAGAUGGUGAUACACAGAAAAAAUUACAGCUAAGGGAGAAGCUGGGCACCUCGCAGUCUGUAGAAGAGAAAGAAACCUUGGUCCUUGAUAUUCAAGGUGGCUCCACUGCAAAUUGCACUAAAUUUUCUAAGAAAAGAAGGGUUUCUUGUGAGAAAAAGACAGUUAUGCGGAACUCUCUUGAGCUUAACCGGUCAGUCAGGACUCAAGGAAAUAAAGCUGGAAGUACACAGGUCGCUUGGAAUACUAUGUGCCUCUCUACUGCUAAAGGACAUGCUGCAUCAGCACUAUUUCUGGAAGACAUUGUUGCUACAGAUGUUAUGAAGUUGUUGGAGUUGGAGAAACCAGAAGAUGAAAGUCAUUACAACAUGGCAAGAGAAUCACUUCUAUCCCCGGAUCUUCCUCAGGUAGAUUUUUUGGAUAGUCUGAUCGUGAACGAAGACAAGAAUCCUGCUACGGCUCUUGACUUGGUUGCUAGAGAUAAUGUGGAUUUAAGUGAUACCAUAAAUUCUAGCGAAGCUUUCAGCACUCAGAGUGCUUCGGUGACCGACAAAAUGCCACCCAUGUCAACAACGGUGCAUGAUGACACUCUUAGACAUUUUGUUGUGUUUUCAAAUAUUGAAGACCAGAUCAGUAUCAUCAGAAUUUUCCAUGCUGCAAACAAUUGUAUUCAGCGAUGCCCAUCAAUUACUAGAGCAGAGUGGGCAGUGCCAGCAAUUCUGUUCUCUUUGAAAAUGGAAGAAAACCUUUUGGCCCGGUAGGUUAUUCUGCUUGCUGAUACUUCCUUAACUGCAUAAUGUUGAUAUAUAUUACCUUCUAAAUUCCAUCAGUAAACUAGUUGUCUGGGCGCUAAUAUGUUCCUUGUUGUUUUUUUCAGGGACAGGGUAUGUGUUUUCCUCUCCUUGCUGUUGCAUAACUUCUCUGUGGUUUCCUCGAUGAAUAUUGGGAACAUUCUGGAUGAUAAUGCUUGUUCCUGCUUGGACUCUUGCAAAGCCAAGUCUUUCUUCUCUUUUGUAUCCAGACUUACUUAGAGUUUAUGUUUUUGUGUUUGUUAUGGUUUUUUGCAGAAAUAUCAUUUGAACCAUCACUUCAGGAUUCAGGACAAGGGAUUUGGUAUAACAUCAUCUCUAUGGGACAUAGUGUUUGGGACACUACCCACCACAAAAGCCCCUAAAAGAGAGCAGUAGUGUACUAAGUUUCAAAACUAAAAGGAUAUUUGGGAACACAGUUAAAUCUUAAAUUUAUUGAUCAUCAUCCCUCAUGAGUUUUGAGAUGUUUGUCUGAGGUUUUCAUUUGGAUCACUGUCUUUGUAAAUCUAUGUUUCUUAUCCUAUUUAAUAGUUGUGGUGUGUUACUCAGCGAAAACAAUCAAAAGUGUUUACUAACAAAACGUAUGUAUUAAAACCAAAAAUUAUAAUUUGUAUGAGUUUUACACCCUGUUAAGACUUCUCGUACGGUGAUUCCGGACCUAGCGACUUAUUGAAAAUGCGGAGAGUACGCAGGAUAUACACGGAGCGGAUUUUUUUUACUAAUUUAAUAUUUGUAAUGUAGCAUACGUUUAAAAACUAUACAUUCCAGAAUUAACGUAAGUAGUGCCGUAGUCUGGUGGUUAUUUUAGUUUGUUUGACAUCGAUAUACCAUAAAUGCAUUUUUUAAUUUUUUUUAUUAAAAAAAAGAUAAAAUUGUAAUUUUCAUUGCGUCUUCUUCCUUAACCUAUUUUUACAGAUUUUACCUUGCAACCGUUUCCUAUUUGUUCUUCGUCAAAAAUCAUCAUUUUUGGGUUGAUUAGCUUCGAUUCAACUUUGUUUCUUUGUUUAUACCAUUAAAAUACGACAUAUCUAUGUUAUAUUUAUCGAUUUCAGACACAAAAUCACCAAAACAUAGAUGAAUUUUUUCAACCGCGUUUUUGAUUGAGUAUACCAUAAUCGCGGUGACGGAGCUCCGCCGAACACUUCACCGGCGCGGAAUCGGUCACUCCGGCCGCGUUUUCGAACAUGGUUUUACAUAGAUUACAAGUUAUAAGAUUCGUCCUAUAAACUUUUGAAUGCUUUCUAAUUUAAAAUUUAAAAUUUCAACUGUGAAGUUCCAACUAUUUAAGAAUACUUCAAUUCUUAAAAAAUGGAUUUGUCUUAUAUAUUCAUCUGAUUAGUUUUCUGACCAACUCAUUAAAAGACUAUAUAAUAUGAGGCAAAUUUUGAAGAAAAUCCAAAUAAAUAAGUGCGUUGGGCCGGGCCUAGUUAAAGAUAUAAAAUCAAUACUCACUGAACCGACCCGACUCGACUUGACUCGACCCGACCCGAGAUCCAAGUGCUGGAGGUCCUGUAUCUUACUCCGUUGUCCGCUCAACCUUCUUCUCAAACUCUGCACUCUUCUUCGCACUCAAAUUAGGGUUUAAGUAAGAUUUUUUGAAUUUUCGUUUCUUCCGAUUACAUUCUCUUAUCACCCCCGCUUCUAUUUAACGGCGAGUGGUCUCCCAUUUUAUGCGAGAGAGUUCGUCCGAGAAUCGGAGGAGUUCCCCUCGCAAAUGGCUGCUAAUGCUCCACUCGAGUCGCCCUCAGGGAGCCCCCGCUGCAUCGCGGUACGUAUCUCAUCAAGUCUCUGUGUUUAUCGAUUCUAAUCCCCUUGGGGCUGUAUAUUUCAGUGGCAAGGGAAGUACCUAGGCAUGAAGAAGAGGCGUGAUGCUUGUAAAGAAGCCAUAGAGAUUCUCCAGAAGGCCAUGGCUGCCGCUAAUGACGAGAAAGCCAAUCUCCAGAAAAGUAAAUCUUCUGACUUUCUUCAUUUGAAUUUUGGCACUGUAUGUGAAGUAGCUAGUGACAGAGGAGGUUAGCUUUCUGCUUUUGAUGUGUUGUACUUUCAACUUGAUAUAGACACUAGAGUAGAUUAUAGUUGUAUGCCACGUAUCUAUGUGUUUGAUUUGGAGUAGUGUUAACUCUUCCCAUAUUAUGAUUCUUUAGCGAUUUUAACUGAGUUAUCUAACUUGCAGCUACUAGUGAUAUGUCCUAUAUGGUUUGAGACUUUGGUUGUGUAGAUUGGGUGGAAAGAUGGUUUUGUUACUAUAACUCUUAAAUCUUGUUGUUGUGUUUUAACUGGUCACUGCUUACUUGCUAUCUGAAUCUUACAGAACUUAGGGAGAUGGCGGAUAACAGGGACGCUCAGGAAGAUGAGUCAGUGGAAAAAUCAUCUUUGGAGAAGGAGAUCUGUGUUUUGAAGUCUGAGAUACUGACUUUGCAAAAAAGAUUGGAGCGUCGUAACCUUCAAGAGAGAAGUGAAGAGGUAGAAUUUCUUCAGGGUUCUAGUGGGGAAAAGGAGAUCAGUGAACUGAAGAGCCUCCUUAAGAAAGAAACAUUAAGGGCGGAUAAUUCUGAAGAAGAGAGGGAACAAAUUUGUAAAGAGUUGAACAAGACAAAGGCUCUGUUGGUGAAAUAUGAGGAUAUCAAGCCACACGUUCCUGAGGUGGAAAAGGAAAUAAGUCUGGUUAAGAAUCUUCUUGCAAGCGAGAGGCAUAAGACAGAGUCUGAGAGGAAGAAAGCAGAAGCAGAGAAAAAGAAAGCUGAUCAGUAUCUUUCUGAGUUGGUGGUUUUAAGAAGUACAGCUCAGAAGACUAGUUCGGAUUUACGUGCUUUGAGCUCCAGUAUUGAGACUGUGAAAAAGCAGCUCGAGUCUGAAAAACAAAAGACACUGAAAGAGAGAAAACGUGCGGAUAUGGAGAGUGCAAAAGCUAAGGAACAGAUGAAGCUGGCAGAAGAUUUGUCUAAGAAGUUUGAAAUUAUUAGAGCUAGAAAUGAAGAGCUCAAGAAAGAAGCGGAAUUGCAGAGCGCUAGUAGCAAAGUAAAGUUUGCUGAAAACUCGGCAAAACUGGAAGAGAAGAUAAGGAUUAAUAAGAACGAAGCGAUGGCCUGGAAAUCUCGUGCUGAUGAUCUGACUCAGCAAUUACAAGAAGUACAAUUAGUGACUGAGGGUUUGAAAAACAGGUGCAUGAGCUUUCUCUCUCCCAAAAAUCUGCUCAGACUUGCUCAAUUUCUCCUCAUCAAGUUAGAGACCUGGAAAAGGCUAAAGUGAGGCUUUUGAAAAAAGAGUUGAAGUUCAAGAGGAAAUGUGCAAAACACUCCAAAGAGGUGGCUGAGUUUGAAAGGUUCCGAAGAGAAUUUCAGGCGGAAGAAAUAGGUCGGUUAACACUUGAGUUCCGUAGUCUUACAAAUCGUAUGAACCUGCUGGAUAAGUUUUCAAGAGGUACAUCUGGCCGUGCAAAGGUUUGUUUAUGCCAUAAAUUUCUUACUCUACACUUUCUUCUCAUCAUAUUUGAAGAUUGGCUUGAGACCAAAUAUAUGUUUUGACAUUGUAUACUUUCUCAACAUUAGGUUACAUGAUAGAUGGUUUGUGAUUGACAUGGUAAAAAAAACGAAUCAAACUGUCUAUUUACAUCUUCUGUUUUCCGAAGAGAAUAUCUAGGUUUAUGCAUGUGGCUCAAACAUUCUCAACUUAGCUGAAACAGUCAGUUGAAGUUAUCUGAGCGUGAGCAUUUAGGCUAUAGUCUGUUGAUAGCGACAUAGAAUCUGACUGACUGUAGAAGCGAGAAUAGUUACUCUGUUUUAGACUUUGAAAUAGUGGCUUCUAUCCUAGCAUGGAACAUUUACAACAUAAUACUGCUUUAAUGCUUAGUUGUUUAGAUCAUUUUAAUUUCUUACUAAUCUUUUUAUGGUUCCUAUUAUGGCGGAGGACCGAAUGAAAUUGCAGAUGGUACAAUCCCAGAAGAACCGUAGUGGUGGAAAGCAUUCUGACGCAAGGUGCCAGUUGGUAGCAAGCUCUGGUUCUCAGGAGAAGGUUCGCAAGCUCUCUACUCAGUUAAUUGCUAAAUCCAGACAGGGCGUGUAUGAAUCUGUCUUAGGUACUAUUUCUCAAUUGGAAUCUCCUACUGGAGGCUCUAGAAAAUCACAGACUUCUGGAGAAAUUUCCAGCGCAACAUCUUGUUCUGAUGGGCAGAUACUGACCUCACAGGGAGCACAACAGUUCUCUGUUACUACUUCAGCAAAAACAUCAAAAGAUGAAGCGCAUAUCCAACCUGCAAACUCAACUAUGUUCCAGAAAAUCGAUACCAAGGAAAAUGGGAAUCUCUGUUUAGUGGCUGAUAACUGUCUCCAGGGACGUCAGAGAGAUAAUCAUGAGGUAGUUAAUGAGCACU